GUCGGGAUAGCUCAGUUGGUAGAGCAGAGGACUGAAAAUCCUUCGUGU
rnacentral:tRNA from 1 species